rnacentral:lncRNA from 13 species
GAAAAAGACAGGAGGAGAGGGAAGCUCUCUGAGAGACUGAAAACUUACCUAAAUGAGACACCAGGCCCUAGCAGCUAUUACAAGAUCAGAUUGGAUUAAAUUUAAACUGGUUGGGCAUUUAGUUUUUCUAAAUGCCCAGAUGGUGAGAGUUCUUCCAGGACUCUCCGGUGACUAUUGUGUCCAUCUUUAUGUCCAUAUGUGCCCAAUGUUUAGCUCCCACUUUCAAGUGAGUACCUCCAGUAUUUGGUUUUCUGCUCCUAUGUUAAUUCAUUCAGAAUAAUGACCUUAGCCUCAUCCCUGUUGCUACAAAAGACAUGACUUCAUUCUUUUUUUUGUGUCAAGCCUGUAUAUAAUUGUGGAAAGUAAAAGGCCCCUAUAAUUCUCAGUCAUUGUGGAAAGUGAAAGGUCUUUGCCAUGAACAUUUUUAAACAACUUUAUCAAGAUAUAAUUCACAUAACAUGCAACUCACCCAUUUAAAG